rnacentral:rRNA from 1 species
UACGGAGGGUGCAAGCGUUAUCCGGAUUCACUGGGUUUAAAGGGUGCGUAGGUGGGCUGGUAAGUCAGUGGUGAAAUCUCCGGGCUUAACCCGGAAACUGCCAUUGAUACUACUGGUCUUGAAUGUCGUGGAGGUGAGCGGAAUAUGUCAUGUAGCGGUGAAAUGCUUAGAUAUGACAUAGAACACCAAUUGCGAAGGCAGCUCACUACACGAAUAUUGACACUGAGGCACGAAAGCGUGGGGAGCAAACAGG